GGUUCAGUGUUAGCGUACGUGUUAGGGUAUGGGUUAGUGUUAGUGUCCGGGAUAGGAUUAGGGUUCAGUUUAGGGUAAGGCUUCGGGUAAGGUUUAGGGUUAUGGUUAGGGUUACGGAACGGGUACGGUUUAGGGUACAGUUUAGGGUACGACAACUGUUUAGGGUUAGCGUACGUGUUAUUGUACGGCUUAGUGUUAGUGUAAAGGUUAGGAUUAGGGUAUGGGUUAGGUUAAUGCUUCGGGUAAGUGUUAGGUUUAGGGUUAGCGCUAGGGAAUGGGUAUGGUUUAGGGUACAGGUUAGGGUAUGCAACAGUUUAGGGUUAGCGUACAUGUUAGGGUACGGGUUAGUGUUAGUGUCUGGGUUAGGAUGAGAGUACGUGUUUGGGUAAGGCUUCGGGUAAGGGUUAGGGUUAGGGAACGAGUACAUUUUAGGGUACACGUUAGUGUACGACAACGAGUUAGGGUUAAUGUACGUGUUAGCGUAAGGGUUAGUAUUAGUGUAUGGGUUAGGAUUAGGGUACGGGUUAGGGUAAGGCUUAGGGUAAGGGUACCAGUACUGUUUAGGCUACUGGUUAGGGUACGGUUAUGGGUUAGGUUUAG